GUCGAGAAUCUUCCGCAAUGCGCGAAAGCGUGACGGAGCGACACCGCGUGAUGGAUGAAGUCCUUCGGGGCGUAAACAUCUUUUAUAAAGGAGGAAAUUUUUGACGUUACUUUAUGAAUAAGGGGCUCCCAAUCUCGUGCCAGCAGGAGCGGUAAUACGAGAGCCUCAAGCGUUAUCCGGAAUCAUUGGGCGUAAAGGGUGCGUAGGUGGUUUGAUUAGUCUCCCGUUAAAACUUCGAGCUUAACUCGAAAAGAGAGGGGGAAACGGUAAAACGACAGUAGGUGAGAGGUGUGUGGUAAUCGUGGUGUAGGGGUGAAAUCCGUUGAUAUCAUGGGGAACACCAAAAGCGAAGGCAGCACACUGGCGCAUCACUGACACUGAGGCACGAAACCUCAAGUAGCGAAUGGGAUUAGAAACCCCAGUAGUCC
rnacentral:rRNA from 1 species